CGUGCCCUCUGGGGCGGUUCUGAGGCUCUCUGGGCUCCGGUUUCUGUCCUUUUUUCUUUCUUCACUUCUUGGGUGCGGUCCCUGAGGCCCCCUCUCCCGCCUUUUUCUCAUAGUUUGGUACCAGGGGAGCCAGGUGGUAAAGUUUCCCGUUGUUUGGUUGUUUUGUUUUGUUUUUCUUUCUUAUACCAACUUUUUUAUUUCCAUGAGGCCGCCUAAGGGCACUUGCUGGCUCCCACCAUUAGUCAGCACUCUUGUGGAACAACUGUUCAAGGAAAGCCAGAGGAGAAAGUAACUCCCGUUGUGUACCUAAGAUCCUGUAAAAAGGUCGCAGGUGAAAACCGUUGAGUUUGAGGACACCAAUUUCUACCCUGCUGUUCUCGGCAAGUGCUGCGGCUUGUCGGCUGUUAUCCAUGCACAAUCCUGUAUGGUUUUGCUGUCUAAUAGUGGGUAGGAAGAAAGGAAGAGGAAAUGGAUUACCAGAGUGAGAAGGUGGACAAGACCCUUCCGGUGGCUGUGACUGUCUUCCACAGGAGAGAACAAGUUGGCAUCUUCCUGUGGUCAUUUACCUCAGGAUCCAGAUGCUGGAUACUUAGUAAAUGUUCAGAACUAAGGCCCCUGCCCAGGUGGAGGAUGAUAACUUCAGGCUGAGCACAAGAUUCCUGGAACCGGGACUUCCCUGGUGGUCCAGUGGUAAAGAAUCCACCUUCCAGUGCAGGGGACACGGUUCGAUCCCUGGUCGGGGAAUUGAGAUCCCACAUGCUGCGGGGCAACUAAGCCCGAGAGCCACAACUAUUGAGCUUGUACGCCUCCGUGAGAGAGCCCACAUGCCGCAAACUACAGAGCCCAUGCGCCCUGGAGCCCGCGCACCACAACUAGAGAGAGAAGAAACCCGCAUGCCACAACUAGAGAAACCUGCACGCCACAACGAAGACCCCAGGCACGCCC